UAUAACUUUGGAAUCAGUCAUGAUUUUUACAUAAUUCUUUCACUGCUUGAUAUAUAUAGCUGCUUGUUUUGCAUUUAUCUAGAGUUUUAUUUUUACUUAUUAUUUCUUCAAGAGAUUUUAUUGCUGUUUGUUGUUAAGUCUGAUUUUAUAGUUGUAGGAUGAUGUUUCAUUAGUUGUGGAGUUUGUAAGUCUUCAGAGGGAAUUUCAAAAGAUUCUACUGCUCUGUGGGGGUGUUUGCAGUUUACACAUUCUAAUUUAGUACAUGGUGUAGGGUCAUGGAUUGUUGACGAACAAAUUUAACAUGUUUCAUUACCACUACAAUAUUUUUUGGUGUGGCCCAAUUUAAAACACUUUUUACAUUGAAUGGGAGUAGGAAUGUACGGGUCGACUUUGCAAUUUAGAAAGACUAUUUUUAUUUCAUUUGGUAAUCUAUAUUGGUCAAAAUGUAAAAUAUGUAAUGGAGUGUUUGUUACUUUGCCUUCAAUAAAUUUUGUGAUCUUCAUGCAAUCGA